GUGCCAGCAGCCGCGGUAAUACGGAGGGUCCGAGCGUUAAUCGGAAUUACUGGGCGUAAAGCGUGCGCAGGCGGUUUGUUAAGCCAGAUGUGAAAGCCCCGGGCUCAACCUGGGAAUUGCAUUUGGAACUGGCGAACUAGAGUCUUGUAGAGGGAGGUAGAAUUUCAGGUGUAGCGGUGAAAUGCGUAGAUAUCUGAAGGAAUACCGGUGGCGAAGGCGGCCUCCUGGACAAAGACUGACGCUCAUGCACGAAAGCGUGGGGAGCAAACAGGAUUAGAUACCCUGGUAGUCC
rnacentral:rRNA from 1 species